AGCGAGAAAAUGAGUGAGAAGCUCAUUCGCCGUAAACCUAAGGUUUCCUGGGAAAGGCAAUUCCGCCCAGGGUUAGUCGGCACCUAAGGCGAGGCCGAGAGGCGUAGCCGAUGGACAGCGCGUUAAUAUUCGUGCACCACUUCUGGAGAGUUGAUGAUGGGGUGACAAAGGUCUGGAUGUCAGCGGAGCGUCGAUUGUCUCCGUCUCUGGCUCGCGGGUGGGCUGGAGGUAAAUCCGCAGCCGUAAGCCUGGGAGUCGGGGCAGGACCAUCUGAGUCUGAAGUGAUUGGUAGGACCUUUCAAGAAAAACCUCGGUUCGUAUUUCCAGGAGUGACCGUACUAAAACUGACACAGGUAGGUGAGGUGAAUAUCCUAAGGCGCUCGAGAGAACCUUCGUUAAGGAACUAGGCAACUUAACUCCGUAACUUCGGGAUAAGGAGUGCCCCGUUAGGGUGAGCAUUUUUCAGUGCAAGCCUGAAGGGGUCGCAGUGAAAAGGGUCUAGCGACUGUUUACUAAAAACACAGGACUGUGCCAAGACCAAAAGUCGAUGUAUACAGUCUGACGCCUGCUCGGUGCCGGAAGGUUAAGGGGAAGGGUUAUCCCUUCGGGGAGAAGCUCAUAACCGAAGCCCCGGUUAACGGCGGCCGUAACUAUGACGGUCCUAAGGUAGCGAAGUUCCUUGUCGGGUAAGUUCCGACCCGCACGAAUGGCGUGACGACUGGACCGGUGUCUCAACGAAGGACUCGGCGAAAUUGUAGUUGUGGUGAAGAUACCACAUACCCGCAGCUAGACGGAAAGACCCCGUGAACCUUUACUAUACCCUAUUAUUGGCUUUGAGUAAUAUAUGUGUAGGAUAGGUGGGAGGCUUUGAAGGAAGGUCGCCAGACCUUCUGGAGCCAACGUUGAAAUACCACCCUUAUCUCACUUAAAUUCUAACAAGGUGCCGUGAAUCCGGGCCUUGGACAGUGGUAGGCGGUUAGUUUGGCUGGGGCGGUCUCCUCCUAAAGAGUAACGGAGGAGCCCAAUGGCUUCCUCAAUGCGGUUGGCAAUCGCAUGUAGAGCGUAAGGGUACAAGGAAGCUUAACUGCGAGACUUAUAAGUCAAGCAGAUGUGAAAGCAGGGCCUAGUGAUCCGGCGUAUUCCGGGUGGAAGGGACGUCGCUCAUCAGAUAAAAGGUACUCCGGGGAUAACAGGCUUAUCUUCCCCAAGAGUUCAUAUCGACGGGAAGGUUUGGCACCUCGAUGUCGGCUCAUCGCAUCCUGGGGCUGAAAGAGGUCCCAAGGGUUUGGCUGUUCGCCAAUGAAAGCGGUACGUGAGCUGGGUUUAGACCGUCGUGAGACAGGUCGGUCCCUAUCUACUGUGGGUGUAGGAUAUUUGAGGGGUUUUGACCUUAGUACGAGAGGAUUAGGUCGGACGAACCUCUGGUGUUUCUGUUGUCCUGUCAAGGGCAUAGCAGAGUAGCUACGUUCGGAACGGAUAAACGCUGAAAGCAUAUAAGCGUGAAACCCUCCCCAAAACACAGAUAUCCCUUGAGGCACCUCGAAGACUACGAGGUUGAUAGGCCGGGAGUGUAAGUGCAGCGAUGCAUUCAGCUUACCGGUACUAAUUUGCCGAUAGGCUUGACC
rnacentral:rRNA from 1 species